rnacentral:rRNA from 1 species
UACAGAGGUGGCAAGCGUUGUUCGGAAUUACUGGGCGUAAAGAGCGUGUAGGCGGUUUGGUAGGUCCGUUGUGAAAACUCGAGGCUCAACCUCGAGACGCCGGCGGAAACCAUCAGGCUAGAGUCCGGAAGAGGAGAGUGGAAUUCCUGGUGUAGCGGUGAAAUGCGCAGAUAUCAGGAAGAACACCCGUGGCUAAGGCGGCUCUCUAGUACGGUACUGACGCUGAGACGCGAAAGCGUGGGGAGCGAACAGG